rnacentral:rRNA from 1 species
ACUACUAAAGAGAGACAGAACCCCGACGCCAUUGCAAUGAUGGUAACUACUAAGAAGGACAGACUGCCACACUCUCGGCGUUUCCGGCCUACGCCCCAUUCUAAACUCACCUUAAUUUCUGGAGAUUUCACCAUGCCAACGAAUCUACGCCGCCUGCUUGCGCAGGCUGCCGACGCUGACCCGCUCAAUACUGCGGAUGCAGAUGUACAGCAAAUGAUCGCUGACGGGAUUGUUAUUCGACGUUCCAAGAUAUGCCCCGUAAAGCGUAAACCCGUUAAGGCGGCAUACAACACAAAGACCGAAGAGUUUUAUUACAAUGCUGAUGGCUCCGCUAUGACCCUGCGGGAGUGGCGAGCGCUGCACGGUGUUCAACCGAAGAAGCAAAAACAGCGCUCUGACACGGGGUUGCGGCAAGUCAUCCAGCCGGGCGACGCAAUCCACUGCCGUCGCGCUGAGAUUGAGCAAUGGCUUAAUAAGAAGCCCGUUCGUUAUGUUGAACCACUGCCGCCAGAUUUUCCCGGCGUUCGCGUUGACGAUGCCGCAUUGAAACCGCGCGAGCACGCCGUGCCGGAGUCAACAACCGGACAGAAUGCUUUUCUCAAAGCCUGCCGCGAGUUCCUGAUUUGCGACGAUGCCACCCUGAAAAGAAUCAAUCGGGUGCGUAAUUCAAGGGACUGGGACGUGUGGCCAUGCGCCACGAAGCAAUCGGAAGUGGUUCCAAGAAAAGCCUCUAAGCUUCAGUCAUACGAGACCGUACCGCAAACCGACACAGGUGGGCGAGAUGAGUAUUCUAAGGCGCUUGAGAGAACUCGGGAGAAGGAACUCGGCAAAUUGGUACCGUAACUUCGGGAUAAGGUACGCCCCGGUAGCUUGAUUGGUUUACUCCAUGAGGGUGAAAGGGUUGCAAUAAACUGGUGGCUGCGACUGUUUAAUAAAAACACAGCACUCUGCAAACACGAAAGUGGACGUAUAGGGUGUGACGCCUGCCCGGUGCUGGAAGAUUAAAUGAUGGGGUGCAAGCUCUUGAUUGAAGUCCCAGUAAACGGCGGCCGUAACUAUAACGGUCCUAAGGUAGCGAAAUUCCUUGUCGGGUAAGUUCCGACCUGCACGAAUGGCGUAACGAUGGCCACACUGUCUCCUCCCGAGACUCAGCGAAGUUGAAAUGUUUGUGAUGAUGCAAUCUACCCGCGGCUAGACGGAAAGACCCCAUGAACCUUUACUGUAGCUUUGCAUUGGACUUUGAACCAAUCUGUGUAGGAUAGGUGGGAGGCUUUGAAGCGGGGACGCCAGUUCUCGUGGAGCCAUCCUUGAAAUACCACCCUGGUUUGUUUGAGGUUCUAACCUUGGCCCGUGAUCCGGGUCGGGGACAGUGCAUGGUAGGCAGUUUGACUGGGGCGGUCUCCUCCUAAAGUGUAACGGAGGAGUUCGAAGGUACGCUAGGUACGGUCGGACAUCGUGCUAAUAGUGCAAUGGCAUAAGCGUGCUUAACUGCG